rnacentral:rRNA from 1 species
CUGCGCCACAAGUGGCAAUCAUUUUUAUUUGGCCUAAAGCGUCCGUAGCUGGUUAAGUAAAUCUCUUGUGAAAUCGUUGGGCUUAACCCAACGGCGUGCAGGAGAGACUGCUUGGCUAGAGACCGGGAGGAGUCAGAGGUAUGCUGGGGGGAGCGGUAAAAUGCUAUAAUCCUCGGUAGACCACCUGUGGCGAAGGCGUCUGACUAGAACGGGUCUGACAGUGAGGGACGAAAGCCAGGGGAGCAAACCGGAUUAGAUACCCGAGUAGUCC